rnacentral:rRNA from 1 species
UACGGAGGGUGCAAACGUUGCUCGGAAUCAUUGGGCGUAAAGCGCACGUAGGCGGCUCGUUAAGUCGGAUGUGAAAGCCCCGGGCUCAACUCGGGAAGUGCAUUCGAAACUGGCGAGCUUGAAUAUGGAAGAGGGUCGCGGAAUUCCCGGUGUAGAGGUGAAAUUCGUAGAUAUCGGGAGGAACACCAGUGGCGAAGGCGGCGACCUGGGCCAAUAUUGACGCUGAGGUGCGAAAGCGUGGGGAGCAA